ACUUGUCUAAUUAACAAACAAAAAAACGCAAAAACUGUAUACAACAUUUUGUUACUUUGAUUAUCGGAUUAUUUGAAACUCAAUUACUUCUUAUCAUUUCAAAGAUUGGCUGCCAUUUGAUUUCUUUGGGAGAAUUAUUGUGCAUUUGGACAUUCAUUUCGACGUCUCACCUCCAUAUAUCAUAGUUUCCAUAUCAGUCGCCAAGCGCUCUAUAGAUGUCGUUUCCAGUAUAUUAAAACUAUACCGAAAGCACCCACAUAUACACCUUCAUCUACAUGCAUACAUAUGUACAGCCGAUGUAAUCCACUUCUUCCACAAUAAUUAGCAAAUUCAUAGAAAGUCCACCCAGAUACCCAGAGUUAAAGUACCUUAGCGGGUUGAUAGAUAGAUCGAUUGAUAGGCAAUCGGUUUGCUAUAAAACAGCGGUGGGCUUGUUCUUGCUCCCAACCGCUCCCACAUGAUGCUGAACUCUACAUGUACACCCGAACAAUCAACCUAUAUGACAAGUCGUGUGCAUGAUGAGUUUCGCUGAUAAUUGUUGUUUUACCCUUUGUUAUUGGACUGCUGCCCACCGCUGCUAUAUACGAUUCCUCAAAAAGAUUCUCGAAUCAUAAUCAAUAAUUUAGUCUGAUUUAGAUGUGACUUUCAUCGUUUCCCUUUUCCUCUGUCGGCAAAUUAAUACCCAUUAGCAAGUCAAUUAGAGCGAACCGGAUCCCAGAGGCUGCCAAUAAUUCUCACCACUCAAUAUUCAAACCGAAAAUCAAAAUUGAAUUAAAUAAUUCGUGCUGUGCGUGUUGUCUGAGACUCGGCUGUCGCAAAUAGUACCCAUGGUCUGUCACAUGGUUCCUUAUAGAUAUUUCAGAUUAGGAUUGGAAUGAUACCUACCUACAGCUCGCCCUGGGGUCUAUGAUCAUGUGGAUCUAGCCUCCAUAUAUAUAUAUAUAUCUGUUUGUAUAUCUAUAUAUAAUUUCAAAGUAUUUCGUUUGAAUAUUAUUACUGUUGAUUGACUCUCCUAUUAUUAGUAUUGUAGUAUUGGCCUUUUCUCGUUUGGUUCUCUAUUCGUUUUGUAUCCAUUUUUCGAUGUAUUUUUAUCGAUCUUACCAUUUGAUCAAUUGAAUAAUGUAAAUCUCUUAUCUUUUCAUGUUUUUUACAAUUUUAAACAUUGUCUGUUUACAAACAAAAUGUCUAAUUUGAUAACUACUACACUACCACAUAUGUACAUCCAUUCUCUGUGGCGUUCUAUAUCCGCAACUACAAAUAACACCACCAACCACCUGAACCACCUACGAAUCUGAAUCUGAAUCUGCAACAACCUUCUUCGCCUUCCUAUCGACGCUCGCCCAAAUAUUGUAUUACUCUACUACUACUACUACUACCUUUUCGUUCGUAAUCGUAAUGCAAAUUGAAAACCUGAACAAAAAAAAAAAACAAAAAUUCAACAAUUCAAUUCAACAAUAACUAAAUUCAUCAAUGAAUGAAUAAUGCAUUUUGGGUUUGAAUUGAAUUCAAUUUGGAUUCGAAUCGAAUCGAAAUAAAUCGAACAAAUUUGGGUCGUGAGCGUCUCCACAUACACACUGCAAGUAAUCCUAGAGAACACGAGUAUAAGCUGAUAUGCUUUUUAGAUUGUAUUGUAAUAUUCAAUAGCUACGAAUGAUCAUUUGUAUUUUUGAAGUUGUUUGGGUGUACAGUAAGCGAUCGCGACCCUUCUUUCCAUAUAAAGAUAUGCAGAUACAGAUGCUAUGUAUAAUUAAGUGUAUACAACUAGCGUAGGAUUUGGCUUUAUUUUUCCAAUUUAUGUUCGCAUCUGUUCGCAUAAUUUGUCAUUCAUCUGAACGAGAUUCAAUUCGCGGCGAUGUCAAGGCAUACAUACGACUACUUCUAUAAACCUUAAUUGGAAUUGCACUUGCCCGACACUUGCCCAGUAAUUGGAGGUCCUUCCGAGUAGAAUAUCGAUCUGUUUUGCGAGCCUUAAGAGACUGAUCAGAUCAAGUGAAUAGUUUUUCGUAUUUCGUAUUCGCAUUGGGAGUGUUCAAACACUGAGCCAGCUCAACACUCAGCAAAAGCGGAAUAUCCGAAUAUCCGUAUACGUUUCUAUAAAUUCAUAAUUUCUGUUGUUUCCGUUUCCUCAUGCAUGUCUGUCUUCGUCAGUCUAUCACGAAUGACUCUACCAUCGCCCGUAAAUUGAAUUUUCUCCAUUAUUGUGUGUGUGUUUUCGUUUUCAUUUACUGUUACUGUUAAAUGCUUAUAUCCCAGAUUUAUACUCGAUUUGAAAUAGUUUGUUAUUGUGCUGCUGUUGUAACCCUGUCUACCUGACUGAUCAUACUAACUAUAUGCUCUCCAAUGUACGAUCUACAAUGUUCGAUGUGUCUAUUUCAUGCGUAGUUUCUUCAAACUGUAACUCUUACUGUUAGCUGAAAUAAUCGAAUAUCAGAGAUGGGAUGCAGAGAGUCCCCUAUAAAUACUGUCGAAUGUACUGUCUGUUUCAUCUGAAGCACUCAAACUUCGUAAGCAUGAGUCAUCAAACGCUUUCAUGUAGAUCAGAAACUGGAACAAUCGGUUCCCUGCCACCUCCUCGUACGUACAUACAUUGUACCUGCUCUCUCAGCUUUCCAACGUACUGCAUUAUGGCAUACUACUACUAUAUUCAUGUUCAUUCAGGAUUUCUUGUAUCCAGUAUCCAGUAUUAUUGAUAAGAAUCGUAUCUUUAAGUGCUUGUCUUCUUGAAAAAUUUACAUGAUCUAUUUUUAUUUUUUCUUUUCAUUUUGUUUAUGUCUACGACGUGAUUGAUAAUACAAUAUAUACAAAAAAUACAAAAACCAUCAACUUUUGGUUAUCGCCAUCUAUUUAUCACAUAAACCAAACAAACUGCUUGAUUCGCGCUGUUCUGAACACCCACCCGCCUGCCGCCAUCCUACAUACAUGUCGCCAUUGCCAAAUACCCAAAUCGAACUGAACCGAAUCGAUAUUAAAUAAAAAUCCAACCCCAUUAAUCGAUAAAUGAUGUCAAAUCGAUGACACAAUCGCCACUGGAUGGGAACGAAACUCCAAAAACCCAACCGAACCGAAUCGACGAUGAUGUGCGCCGCCUUCCUUAUUCAUCACCCGAAACACUCAUCCAACCACCAUUACUCAUUCCAUACGUUCAAACACUCACCCUCGAACGGUUCUUGUACAAA